UACAGAGGUCCCAAGCGUUGUUCGGAUUCAUUGGGCGUAAAGGGUGCGUAGGCGGCGCGGUAAGUCGGGUGUGAAAUCUCGGAGCUUAACUCCGAAACUGCAUUCGAUACUGCCGUGCUGGAGGACUGGAGAGGAGACUGGAAUUUACGGUGUAGCGGUGAAAUGCGUAGAUAUCAGGAGGAACACCGGUGGCGAAGGCGGGUCUCUGGGCCGAUACUGACGCUGAGGAGCGAAAGCGUGGGGAGCAAACAGG
rnacentral:rRNA from 1 species